rnacentral:rRNA from 1 species
GUACACGCUGUGACUAGCAUAUCAAUAAGCGGAGGAAAAGAAACUAACAAGGAUUCCCCUAGUAACGGCGAGUGAAGCGGGAAGAGCUCAAAUUUGAAAUCUUAAAGGGUUUCCCUUUACGAAUUGUAGUUUAAAGAAGUGUUUUCUGUUGAGGUUUUGGUAAAAGUUCUUUGGAAUAGGACAUCAUAGAGGGUGAGAAUCCCGUAUUUGACCUUUACUUUCAACUUUGUGAUACACUUUCAAAGAGUCGGAUUGUUUGGGAAUGCAGUCCAAAAUGGGUGGUAAAUUUUCAUCUAAAGCUAAAUAUUGGCGAGAGACCGAUAGCGAACAAGUACCGUGAGGGGAAAGAUGAAAAGAACUUUGAAAAGAGAGUUAAACAGUACGUGAAAUUGUCAAAAGGGAAGCGUUUGACACCAGUGUUGUUUUUCUGAAAAUCAAUUAAAGAACUGUUUAUGCUAAGUUGUUUAGACUUUAUCAGCUAACUGUUUAGUUUUGAGCUUUUCUUUAAUGCACCUUUUCAGUUAACAAGUCAACAUCAAUUUCUUUUGCUGUAAAAAAGCUUGAGGAAGGUGGCUUGAGAUUCGUCUUAAGUGUUUAUAGCCUCUUGCCUAUGCAGUCGGAGAGAUUGAGGUCUGCAGCGUAGAUCCUUCGGGGCUAAAUGCAUUUGUGCUAAGUUAUAGCAUUUUAUAGACAACUUGUUGACUAUGAUUUGUCUUGUAGCUUACUCGCUUAUGUUAUUUUACCUACGCUUAGGAUGUUGAAGAUGUAGCACAUCAU